CUCGGACGAUCCUUCUCAGCCGCUAAUGGACGACCAAGGUUGCUCAGCGAGGGGCUGAAAAGCUCCACGACUGUGGACUUUGGGAGUGGUUUGCUUAGCCCCCACGAGGUUUGCAAGUGAGCCAAGAUCAAGAGCCAGGCUGCCAGGGUCGCCGCCCAGGGCUACGGCCUAGGCGGAUCCCUCGACUUUUCUAUAUUUUGUUCCAUACUAUGCUGCCAAAUGCAUCCUUAGCCUCUUUCAUAAACUUUGCAAUAUGACUCCUUGUACUUUAUGCCUUACCGUACUUUAGCUCCAAACU